GAUGAACGCUGGCGGCGUGCCUAAUACAUGCAAGUCGAGCGAACGGACGAGAAGCUUGCUUCUCCGAUGUUAGCGGCGGACGGGUGAGUAACACGUGGAUAACCUACCUAUAAGACUGGGAUAACUUCGGGAAACCGUAGCUAAUACCGGAUAAUAUUUUGAACCGCAUGGUUCAAACGUGAAAGACGGUCUUGCUGUCACUUAUAGCUGGAUCAGCGCUGCAUUAGCUAGUUGGUAAGGUAACGGCUUACCAAGGCAACGAUGCAUAGCCGACCUGAGAGGGUGAUCGGCCACACUGGAACUGAGACACGGUCCAGACUCCUACGGGAGGCAGCAGUAGGGAAUCUUCCGCAAUGGGCGAAAGCCUGACGGAGCAACGCCGCGUGAGGCAUGAAGGUCUUCGGAUCGUAGAACUCUGUUAUUAGGGAAGAACAUAUGUGUAAGUAACUGUGCACAUCUUGACGGUACCUAAUCAGAAAGCCACGGCUAACUACGUG
rnacentral:rRNA from 1 species